rnacentral:lncRNA from 1 species
CUCUGUUUCUGCUGCUGCUGGCCUUUCCCCUGCACAACACUCAGGAGCGAGCUGUCAACGAGCUGUACGGCCUGACAGAGAAGGGCCAGGGCGGCCCCGCGGACCCGGCAUCGAGCAACCAGAGCCGGCUGCUGGUCAAAGAGCCCUCCCUGCCCAUCAACGAGCUCCUGGAGAAGGGCAGCAGCAAGUUCAGCCUCCAUCCUCAGUCCUCCUCCGUGUGGCCCAAACACAGCGACCUGGGCCCCCUGCCCCGCCACCCCGCUCCCCACAACAAGAGCAAGAAGGGCCCGAAGAGCGACCGCCUGCUGGAGCACAACAGCGAGAAACACCGCGGCGAGGCGGCCGGUCUGCUGCCCAAAGCCCCGCUGACCGGACCGUUCAGCAACCGCUCCGUGCUGCGGAGCCACCAGGACCCGCAGACCAGCAUCGGUCCUCCCCAGCAGGCCGAGGCGGAUCUGCACCCCAACUCCAACUCCAGACCCCGGGGCCCGCCCCCCCCACAGCAGCAGCCCCAGCCCUCCCCGCGGAGGGAGCCCCUCACCCGGCGGCUGGACCCCGAGGAGAACCGGCCGGGGAAGUCCGGCCUCUAUCAGCCGGGCGUCGGUGCGGUGACCCGGAACAGCAGCCGCCCGCCGGUCGUCUUCAACCGGCGCUCCUCCAGCCUGCUCUACCAAUUCGACAUCUUGAGGCGAGAGUCUGACUUCACACACGAUGCCUUCUGUAUGAGCGAGUGCAGGAAGGAGAAGGAGGAGAGAGAGUAUUUCUGCU